GCUAUAAUAAAUCUUAUAAAUUAAAAUUAAUUAAAACAUUAUAAAAUAUAGUCAUUUCAACUAUCUAAACUAAAGUACUGAAAAGGAAUAAAAAAUAAUUUAAAGUAGCGUAAAUCGCGUACCUUGUGCAUUAUGGUUUUACAAGCUAACAAUUAAAUAUACAAUCCCGAAUUCUACGCGAGCUGCUUAAAUAUUGUUAAGAACUAACUACUAGCUGUAGCACCAACUUUAGAAAAUAUAUAAGCAGAGGCUACAUACCACACGCGCUAGAAUAUUGCUGGUUUUCAGUAAAAUUUAUUAAUUAAAACAUGUAACAACUUUACAAUGUAAGAUAUAAGAGGAUAAGCCCUUAAAUCUAAAGCUAUAAAACUAAUAAUAAACCACGUAGGCCUAAAAACAGCCACCCUCAGUACUUUAUCGUAUUUCUAAUACAAUAAUAUAAGUUAUUUGCUAAAAUAAACUGAAAUUUAGGACCUCCUCCCCAUCCUACAAUAAUCUGUAAAAAUAAGUAUUAGUUAAUAAAUUACCUAAUUAUAUAAUUCACAUUUACCCUAACAAAUAAAUACUUACAAAGGAACUCGGCAAAUAAUUAUUUCGACUGUUUAACAAAAACAUUGCUUCUUGAUACUAAAUAAGAAGUAACUCCUGCCCAG
rnacentral:rRNA from 1 species